GCUGUGAUUCUAAGUGUAGGUGAUAGAGAGAAACAACUUAAACUGUCAUUAUUAGGCUGUGAUUCUAAGUGUAGUUGUUUCUCUCUAUCAUCUACACUUAGAAUCACAGCCU
rnacentral:pre_miRNA from 1 species